ensembl:lncRNA
GUAGUUGUUAUUAAUGUGCCUGACAUGGUGUAAUCAAACCAAGUGUGAUGUUGUGGUACGCUCAGAAAUGUCUUGUUAACAAAUUGAAUGUUUUUGUGGAAAGUGCAUGAAAAAGAUUUCAGUCCCGUAGCUGAUGAAGCUCAUUUCAGACUCUUAACGAUGUGUGCAGGUUGAUGGAAAUGAAUUUUAUAGGUGACACAUAUUGUUCAAUGCAAAGAUGGAUGUGAUUCAAAAAUAAUGAGUCUGCAGCAAAAUAACAGGAUGAAAUGCAUGAUCAUUUCUGACAUCAGAUGAGAGGAUGAGCUGUCAACACACUGAUACACUCAGCAGACACAUGGUUGGUGAACAUGUGCCCAGCUAGCUACAGCUAACGAUCAGUACAUUUAAUCUUUGGGGUAAAUUUGCACAGACUGCAAUAACAAGCCAGCAAUGUAAUUCAUGUGCUUCCACUGUAUAUAUAACUAAUAUAAAUCAAAAAUUCACCCCACAGAAUAAAUGCACCAACUAUACAGAAGCUAGCACGCAGGAAGUCGGUACCAUCUGGGUGUAUCAUACCUGUGGUUCUCACACGUUUAACGAGAACACUCCGGACAUGAGAGCGAUUCUACAGGAGAGUACAAUAGUGCAAGUAAAAUCAUUCAUAAUUGGAUACAAAUACCAAAAUGUGCAGAUAUACUCAUUUAUGAUUACUCUUGAGGAAUCCCAUUAGCCAUUUGAAAUGUCAAAAUGCUGACUCUGGUGGGAAACGUAACAUUUAGAGACGAGGACAACUCAUUAUCAAACCACGCAUGUUUGACCAUGUAAAAGUUCAUCUUUGAAGUUUGAAGUCGUUCUCUUUGUAACUUAUGUAAAGAUACUUUUAGCUGUUUCCUUUUUUUGAGCUGCUUUAUUAAGUGGUUGGCACAACAGAUGGAUUCAUAUGUUUGAUAUGGCACCAGGUUCAUGCCAGAUGCCCCUGCUGAUGCAACCAGCACUGGGAGUACUCCCAGAAGCUGGGUUUGGGGAUCUUUCACGUGUAAACCACUUGCUGGCUUAUAGUGACUUUUACAGAAAGGCAAGCGAACUGUAGCCCUACCACCCCUCCAAAAAAAAAUCAAAAUGAAAAAGUAAUAAUAAAUAAAUAAAUAAAUAAAGCCUACUUUUAAGAAAACAAACAGAAUUAGAUUAAAACAGCUUCUUGCUGUUGCUUGACUUCUUCACCUCUGCUCUCCUUCCUGGCAGUAAAUUUGUAGCAUUUUUUUUAUCUAAUGAUUUUUCAGAAAAAUGUUCCCCAUCAGUGUGACAUGGAGCAG